GUGGGGAAUAUUGGGCAAUGGGGGCAACCCUGACCCAGCGACGCCGCGUGAGGGAAGACGGCCUUCGGGUUGUAAACCUCUUUUGUACGGGAAGAAGGAAGUGACGGUACUGUACGAAUAAGUCCCGGCUAACUACGUGCCAGCAGCCGCGGUAAUACGUAGGGGACGAGCGUUGUCCAGAAUUACUGGGCGUAAAGGGCGCGCAGGCUGUGCUGCAAGUCAGCUGUGAAAUGUCUGGGCUUAACCCGGGCAUGCGGUUGAGACUGCAGUGCUGGAGUGCUGUAGAGGCAAGUGGAAUUCCCAGUGUAGCGGUGAAAUGCGUAGAUAUUGGGAAGAACACCGGUGGCGAAGGCGACUUGCUGGGCAGCAACUGACGCUGAGGCGCGAAAGCCAGGGGAGCAAACGGGAUUAGAAACCCGGGUAGUCC
rnacentral:rRNA from 1 species